AGGUUAGUUUUUCUCCUCUUAUAGUUUUUGAGUAUUGUUUUAUCAAUAAGUAGUUGAUCGUUUGUACCAUAUGAGUUUUUAAAAUUUUCUUUUUGUUCAAGGAAUUAACAUGCAGGUAAUUGUAGAUUUGUUUAUUGAUAAUGCCUGUAAAUAGUUUAAAAGUUGUAGGAAAGUUAGUGAUUGGUCAAAAAUUGCUCAGAAUUGUGCCUUUACUUGAAUCUUUUAUUACCAAAAACAUUCUUCCUGAUGUCAUCCAUUUUUUAACUGAUCCAUCUUGGAGCAUUUUAUUAAAUUGAUGAGCUAGGUUACUAUGUAAGCUGGUGAAAUGCUUGAGUCAGAAGCCAUGGAGCUCAUAUUUGCCAGGGGGCAUUCCAGUUUUUCAUUUUUUUGCCAGCUCUCUAGCCAUUUCUUUUAUCAUCAUCAGGUCUUCCAUUUCUGUUUUCUUGAUAUAUUUUUCAAUAUCUUUCAUCCAGGAAGCAUUUUGAUUAUGAUGAUGAUGUUUAUCCCAGACAUCUCUCCAAAACUUAAUUAUUUCAUUUCCAUUUUCUGGGCUUAUGAUAUUUGUUAAUCUGCCUAUUAGAUUUUUGAAGAAGCAGUGUUGAUAGGUUCUAAAGUCAGCAUUUUGUCUGAAUUGAUCAAUUCUUGCAUCAUAUCUUUUGAUUUUAUUUGAUAUUGCAACUACUCUUUGUUUAAACUGUUCC
rnacentral:lncRNA from 1 species